rnacentral:rRNA from 1 species
ACGAACGCUGGCGGCGUGCUUAACACAUGCAAGUCGAACGGAAAGGCCUGCUUUCCCUUGUGGAUUGCGGGUACUCGAGUGGCGAACGGGUGAGUAACACGUGAGUGAUCUGCCCCCAACUUGGGUAUAAGCCUGGGAAACUGGGUCUAAUUCCCGAUAGGACUGCAGGGUGGUGCCUGUGGUGGAAAACGAUUUUCUAGUGGUUGGGGAUGAGCUCGCGGCCUAUCAGCUUGUUGGUGGGGUAAUGGCCUACCAAGGCGGCGACGGGUAGCCGGCCUGGGAGGGUGGACGGCCACAUUGGGACUGAGAUACGGCCCAGACUCCUACGGGAGGCAGCAGUGGGGAAUAUUGCACAAUGGGCGGAAGCCUGAUGCAGCGACGCCGCGUGGGGGAUGACGGCCUUCGGGUUGUAAACUCCUUUCGACCGCGAGGAAGCCACCUGGUUGGAAGGGUGGUGACGGUAGUGGUAGAAGAAGCACCGGCUAACUACGUG